rnacentral:rRNA from 1 species
UACGUAGGGGGCAAGCGUUGUCCGGAUUUAUUGGGCGUAAAGAGCGUGUAGGCGGCCUGAAAGGUCAGCUGUGAAACUCGAGGCUCAACCUCGAGACGUCGGUUGAAACCAUCUGGCUAGAGUCCGGAAGAGGAGUGUGGAAUUCCCGGUGUAGCGGUGAAAUGCGCAGAUAUCAGGAAGAACACCCGUGGCUAAGGCGGCUCUCUAGUACGGUACUGGACGCUGAGACGCGAAAGCCGUGGGGAGCGAACAGG